UAAAAGGGUACAAAAAGCAAAACAGAACAUUCAAUUGUGGACACUUUUUAAAGGCCAAACACACUACUGAAUCAUGGACGGAGGGAGUACAAUUUUGAUAUUUCAACCUUGAAGUUUUAAUUGUUAUAUCGCGUCAUUUCGUUGCUUUUAGCAACCCUUACCAUCAAAGCCAUUCUCUAUCAUCCUCAAAAGUCUACUCCUACCCUCUAUGGCCUUUUGAGUAAAACCUUCUCUGCAAAGUCAUAUCCCAUGUUCCACCCAAAUCUUCCCCAUCACUCUCCACAAAUCUUCACAAACUCUUCCUCUCACAAGCAGCAAAAAUUCAGGAGCAAAACACAAACAAUUUCAUAGCCCUUCUAAUAGCUCCGUUCACUGAGGUUCAUCAGCAGCAAAUCCAGCAGCUGCACCUUCCACAUUUCAGCAACUCAAACCAAAAACUCUUGAAGGUUUCAUCAAACUCCCUUGCUGCUUUAUUUCGCAUUUCAAUAGAGAAACCCAAUUCAUUUACGUAUAAAGACUUUCAGCAUCCAACAAGAAUCACACGUCACAUGUGCAUAUCAUCUGUGUAUAUAUAUAUAUAUACAUAUGAAAUCUGUAAAGAAAGGGAAGAAGUAGAAAAGAGACGAUUUUUACAAAAGAUUAAAUCUUGAAACUUUGUCUUUA